UAGGGAAGUCUUUCCACAAUGGGCGAAAGCCUGAUGGAGCAACGCCGCGUGUGUGAUGAAGGGUUUCGGCUCGUAAAACACUGUUGUAAGAGAAGAAUGACAUUGAGAGUAACUGUUCAAUGUGUGACGGUAUCUUACCAGAAAGGAACGGCUAAAUACGUGCCAG
rnacentral:rRNA from 1 species